CUAGAGAUAGCUUAGUGCCUUCCGGGUAACGUCUGAGGACAGGUGCUGCAUGGCUGUCGUCAGCUCGUGUUGUGAAAUGUUGGGUUAAGUCCCGCAACGAGCGCAACCCUUAUCCUUUGUUGCCAGCGAGUAAUGUCGGGAACUCAAAGGAGACUGCCGGUGAUAAACCGGAGGAAGGUGGGGAUGACGUCAAGUCAUCAUGGCCCUUACGAGUAGGGCUACACACGUGCUACAAUGGCAUAUACAAAGAGAAGCGAACUCGCGAGAGCAAGCGGACCUCAUAAAGUAUGUCGUAGUCCGGAUUGGAGUCUGCAACUCGACUCCAUGAAGUCGGAAUCGCUAGUAAUCGUAGAUCAGAAUGCUACGGUGAAUACGUUCCCGGGCCUU
rnacentral:rRNA from 1 species